rnacentral:rRNA from 1 species
CCUACGGGAGGCAGCAGUGGGGAAUAUUGGUCAAUGGGCGCGAGCCUGAACCAGCAAAGUAGCGUGAAGGAUGACUGCCCUACGGGUUGUAAACUUCUUUUAUAAAGGAAUAAAGUGAGGCACGUGUGCCUUUUUGUCUGUACUUUAUGUAUAAGGAUCGUCUAACUCCGUGCCAGCAGCCGCGGUACUACGGAGGAUCCGAGCGUUAUCCGGAUUUAUUGGGUUUAAAGGGAGCGUAGAUGGGUUGUUAAGUCAGUUGUGAAAGUUUGCGGCUCAACCGUAAAAUUGCAAUUGAUACUGGCAGCCUUGAGUACAGUUGAGGUAGGCGGAAUUCGUGGUGUAGCGGUGAAAUGCUUAGAUAUCACGAAGAACUCCGAUUGCGAAGGCAGCUUACUAAACUGCCACUGACAUUGAUGCUCGAAAGUGUGGGUAUCAAACAGGAUUAGAUACCCGGGUAGUC